GGGCGUAUAGCGCAGUGGUAGCGCGUUCGCUUUGCAGUCAUUAUUCGACCAUGCGAAAGGCCCAGGGUUCGAUCCCCUGUUCGUCCA